GCUAGCGCCGGGAGAGCGGGAGGCGGGGUGAGGAUGGGAGCGGCCUCUGGAACACCUUCCCCCGGGUGUAACGGGAGUCGGAGGCGGGGCGUCCGGAGAGGGGCCGCCUUCGCCCGCCGGCUGGGACCAAGCGGCGACUUGGGCGCGCCCAGCCCCGCGGCCGCCUCCACAGCGCGCAGCCCUCCCCUUCCUCCGCCCAGCGCCCGCCCCUCGGAGCCCCGGCGCCCCGGCGCCCCUCCCGCCGGCCUCGGCUCGGCUUUCCCCUUGCUUGGGGCUUCCUGCGAGCCCAAUAUAGCUCUGCCGAGCCACGUGGACCGCAGCGGGCUGGGUGGAGGCCGGACCGGCCUAAGAGACGCCGGAGGAGGAGGCGCGGGGACCGGAUCGCCGCCCCGAGAGAGGGGCUCUGCGGGAACAGCGCGCGAGGCUAGGGAAGAACUCCCCGGAGGCCUCAAGCUCGCGGGGUCAACCCCCGGGACAAGGCGAUGGGCGUGCGCCGAGAGGACGUGGCUGGCGGUGCCGAGAAGAUCCCUAGUCGGGUGUGCGGUGGAGAGAGGUGGCGAUCCCCCCUGCAGAGCCACCUCUUCCUCUAAGGGCGUGGGACUGGAGAAACAGACAACAGCUUGUGACCCUGGGUCCUUUGGUUUGGGAUCAGGACAACCCAACAGGAUGUCUUGCCUGCCCACCAUGUCUGAAAGAACUGGAAUCUAA
rnacentral:lncRNA from 1 species